rnacentral:rRNA from 1 species
UACGUAGGGCGCAAGCGUUGUCCGGAAUUAUUGGGCGUAAAGAGCUCGUAGGCGGCUUGUCACGUCGAUUGUGAAAGCCCGAGGCUUAACCUCGGGUCUGCAGUCGAUACGGGCUAGCUAGAGUGUGGUAGGGGAGAUCGGAAUUCCUGGUGUAGCGGUGAAAUGCGCAGAUAUCAGGAGGAACACCGGUGGCGAAGGCGGCUACCUGGACCGGUUCUGACGCUGAUGCGCGAAAGCGUGGGGAGCAAACAGG